GAGAAGCUUCUACCAGGGUUCGAUUCGAGCGCAGCGAGAAAGCGUUGCCGCAGGCAACGACCCGAAGGGCGAAGCGCGCAGCGCUGAGUCAUCCUUCCCCCACCACCA
rnacentral:sRNA from 1 species